AGUGAACGCUGGCGGCAGGCCUAACACAUGCAAGUCGAACGGUAACACAAUACAACCUUGCGCUUACCUGAGGAGAGUCGGGCGCGUGAGUAGUAUACGUCAAACUGCACGUUGGAGGGGGGGAACACGUGGGAAAAGUAACUAAAACCGCAUAUCGGACCUACAGCAAAGAGCAGGAGAUCUUCGCACCUUGCCCGCGGAUAUGACCCGAUGGGAUUAGCUAGUUGGCGGGGUAAAGGCUCACCCAGGCGACGAUCCGUAGCUGGUCUGAGAGGAUGAUCAGCCACACUGGAACUGAGACACGGUCCAGACUCCUACGGGAGGCAGCAGUGGGGAAUAUUGGACAAUGGGCGCAAGCCUGAUCCAGCCAUGCCGCGUGUGUGAAGAAGGCCUUCGGGUUGUAAAGCCCUUUUGUUGGGAAAGAAAAGCAGCAAGUUAAUACCUCGCUGCAUUGACGGUACCCGAAGAAUAAGCACCGGCUAACUUCGUG
rnacentral:rRNA from 1 species